ACCCAACUGGCUCAGCUGGUGGAGGGAGACUCUUGACCUUGGGGUUGUGGGUUUGAGUCCCACGUUGGGUA
rnacentral:tRNA from 1 species